rnacentral:lncRNA from 1 species
AGAAUAGAAAUUGCAAUAACAAAAUCCUAAAUAGAAUACUAAUAAUGCUCUAAUUAGAUUAUAAUAAUGGUAAACAAACGUAAUCAAAUUCAAAACAAUUCAAAGAAAUUUCAAACAAACAAUAAAAUUCUUAAAGAAAUAUUAGAAUGAUCACAAAUUUUACUCAAAUAUAUGUCAAUUCAACCUUAAUUUAAUUCUAGUUAAAACCCUAUUGAAUUUCACUCAAUUUUAGACCAAACCUAAUUAAAUCUUAAACCCUAAUAAUUCCUAAACCCUAAGUCAAAUCCUAAACAAAUCUUAAAUUAAACCCUAUUCCAAACCCUAAACCCUAAACCAAACCCUAAACCAAACCCUAAACAAACCUUAAUCCAACCCUAAAUCCUAAACCAAACCUUAAAUCAAAUCCUAAUCAAAUCCUAAACCCUAAUCCAGACCUAAUCCAAACCCUAAUCCAAAUCCUAAUCCAACCCUAAACUCUAAUCCAAAUCUUAAACCCUAAUCCAACCCUAAACUCUAAUCCAAAUCUUAAAUCCUAAACCAAACCUUAAAUCAAAUCCUAACCAAAUCCUAGUCCAAACUCUAAUCCAAAUCCUAAAUCAAACCCUAACCAAACCCUAAAUCCUAAUCCAAACCCUAAUCCAACCCUAAACUCUAAUCCAAAUCC